GAUCCUGGCUCAGGAUGAACGCUAGCUACAGGCUUAACACAUGCAAGUCGAGGGGAAACGACAUCGAAAGCUUGCUUUUGAUGGGCGUCGACCGGCGCACGGGUGAGUAACGCGUAUCCAACCUGCCCAUCACUUGGGAAUAACCUUGCGAAAGUAAGACUAAUACCCAAUGAUAUCUCUAGAAAACAUCUGAAAGAGAUUAAAGAUUUAUCGGUGAUGGAUGGGGAUGCGUCUGAUUAG
rnacentral:rRNA from 1 species